rnacentral:rRNA from 1 species
AACGAACGCUGGCGGCAUGCCUAACACAUGCAAGUCGAACGAGACCUUCGGGUCUAGUGGCGCACGGGUGCGUAACGCGUGGGAACCUGCCCUUAGGUUCGGAAUAACUCCCCGAAAGGGGUGCUAAUACCGGAUAAUGUCUUCGGACCAAAGAUUUAUCGCCUUUGGAUGGGCCCGCGUUGGAUUAGCUAGUUGGUAGGGUAAAAGCCUACCAAGGCGACGAUCCAUAGCUGGUCUGAGAGGAUGAUCAGCCACACUGGGACUGAGACACGGCCCAGACUCCUACGGGAAGCAGCAGUGGGGAAUAUUGGACAAUGGGCGAAAGCCUGAUCCAGCAAUGCCGCGUGAGUGAUGAAGGCCUUAGGGUUGUAAAGCUCUUUUACCCGGGAUGAUAAUGGCAGUACCGGGAGAAUAAGCUCCGGCUAACUCCGUG